AUUGAACGCUGGCGGCAUGCCUUACACAUGCAAGUCGAACGGUAACGGGCCUUCGGGUGCCGACGAGUGGCGAACGGGCGCGUAAUACAUCGGAACGUGCCCGAUCGUGGGGGAUAACGAGGCGAAAGCUUUGCUAAUACCGCAUACGAUCUACGGAUGAAAGCAGGGGACCGCAAGGCCUUGCGCGGACGGAGCGGCCGGUGGCCGAUUAGGUAGUUGGUGGGAUAAAAGCUUACCAAGCCGACGAUCUGUAGCUGUACUGAGAGGAUGAUCAGCCACACUGGGACUGAGACACGGCCCAGACUCCUACGGGAGGCAGCAGUGGGGAAUUUUGGACAAUGGGCGCAAGCCUGAUCCAGCCAUGCCGCGUGCAGGAUGAAGGCCUUCGGGUUGUAAACUGCGUUUGUACGGAACGAAAAGCCUUCUUUUAAUACAGGAGGGUCAUGACGGUACCGUAAGAAUAAGCACCGGCUAACUACGUG
rnacentral:rRNA from 1 species